UUUACCCUGCUCUGUUCGUGAUUAGCAGCCAUAUCCUUGAACCGUAAUUAUACGAAUCCUGGGACGAAGCUGUGAUGGCAGCCGACAGGCCUUGAUUGGAAGUCGAAAACCAUCCUGCCAGUUCCGCAUGUUGCUACAACAUGUUCAAAGGAUCCGCCGCACACGGCAAUGGUGGGGUUAUU
rnacentral:other from 1 species